UUUUUUGCCCUUCUCUUGUAGAUCUCAGAUCUGAUACGACAAAGCACAAAGGAGUCCCCGCUCUGGGAGUUCCUCAGCUUGGGGUAUGCACUCAUGCUCUGCCCAUUUGUCGUUGUCCUAGGAGGGAUGUUUUUCCUGGCUACAGCCCUAUUCUUCCUCAGUGACCGAGCCAAAGCUGAACAACAGGUGAACCAACUUGUGAUGCCACCAGCCUCUGUGAAAGUCUGAGAUGUUGAAGGUGAAGGAAACCACGUGUGGAUUCCUGCUUCCAGCAACAGUCUCAAGCUCAAAGCCCUUCCACACUGGAAAAUGGUGGCUCCCUCAAUUCCACGCCACCCUGGAAGGGCUACAUAGCAGCACCAAAUCCACCACGCCACUCCAGCCUGCAGGGUCAGGCACCAGGAGAUGAGCAGGGCAGCCUGGAACGCAGUGCUUCUUGAGCAUAAGGACAUUACAGGUUCCUCUGAGCAUCUAAAGCAACUCUCCACUGGACCCAAGUGAGUGACUGUAGAUUGUGUAAAUGGUUUUAGUUGUAGCCAAUGAAGUCCACGUUGUUACAGGACUUCUGUCCUACUGAAUGCUGCUGUUCUGCCAGCACUCCCACACCCAGAGACUGCACUAGUUGGGGACCUAUUCUGUACAUCACUUUUUCUUUAACACUGAAGGCUCAGUUUAGAUUAUUAUUUUUUAUUUAAAUAUGUCCUAAGAUGCUUUAUCUGCUAAAGACAUUAGAUGACAGAUAUAUAUAUAUAUAUAUUUAGAUAAACAGUUUUUAUUUAAACAUUUGGAAUCUGGAGCUGCCUGUGUAACCAUACCAGACAUGAAUACGUCCACAACUCUCCUCAUCUCAGUGCCCUGGUAUCAGGUCCUAGAAGGACACCAUGGGACGAGUUCCCAUGGAUGGAUGGAACCUGUCACCUGAGGCUGAGCAAUAGGACAGAGGAGAGAGUUGCACUGCACUGGGUGUGCUGGUGGUUGUUACAGAAAGGCCCCAGACUUUGGACAGAAAUACUAGGAGCUCCAGAUUUUGCUCAGUAUACUAAAUUCAGCCUUGCCUAGGAGAUUCACAGGUUUCUAAAAUACCAAAAUCCAUCUGGCUGAAUUGCUUUACCAAUGGCCUGGUAGUGCAAUACUGCUGUGCCAGUAACAUCAUGCUUUGUUUACAUGCAUAUCAUGUUACGUGUAUUGUCAGUGCCAAUUCUCCCUCAUCAGUAUUUUGUGAGCAGGCAGCUGAUACUCUACAGUGCUGUUCCCUUUGGAGCAAUGGUUAGGUCAUGCACGUUCAUCUCCACACACUGUCCUAGAUUGCUCUUAGUGGGGUGCCUCUUAAUCAUUUAUCUUCAAGACACAAGGCCAGUGUCUGAGCUAUGUAAAAGAGUUUCAAAUGCAGAGCAGUGUGGCUGUAAAGCAGUCAGAGCAUCAUUUCACAAGAGUCUUGUUUCUUGCAUUUGACCUCCACAAGCCAAAUUUAUGCUGUGCCAGCUUAAUGCUGUAAGAGUGACAGGAAGGAAGGAGAGCACAGUCCCCGGAGAGUCAGGCUUCCAGAGAAAGGGCGUUUGUUCAAGUGAACUUCUCACUCCCUUUUUUCUGUUUAGAUGUCUCCCAGAACUCAGAUUUUCCAGACCUCCUUCCAGGUUAUGCACCCAGACUUUAGGUGUACCUCACUCUUGUACAAUAAGCAAUUGUGGUUAAGCUGCAAGUAUGACUAAAUCAACAAAGGAAAUGGAAAACUGGGACUGGACGUGAGUUACAUCUCCAAGUUGGCUGUUCUGUUUGUGUUGUAGCUUUUGUUCAGACAUAAGAAGGUAAAGGUAGUAAAUCUGGGUUUUAUCUCCAGUUCCAGGAUGUGCUGCAAUCUACAGCAAAGCACUGUAGUAGAGAUGGCUGGUAAUUCCACCAAAUUAGUCACUAUUCCUACACUGCCAGUGUUAUGAGGGUGAUUCCUAUAAAAAUCUGAGCAUUUCCUCUUCAUCUGUUACAUAAAAUGCUUAAACAAUGGCUCUAGAGUUGGCUAAACAACUAAGCCAGAAAUCUUCCUUGAGUGCCUGGGCAUCCUCUGGAAAACAGCAAGUGGAUGUUAGAAAAAAUAACAGAAAGCAAAUCCAAAACAAUUUUUUGUUUCCCACCUUAUGCUCCUAUUUACAUGUGCAGGGGAAAUACCGACACCGUAGAAGCCAAAUACUUGGCUUUAAAGGCACAUGAAUUUCUGAUUCCCAUUAAGAAAUUCCUUGUUAAGAUGGUUAAAAAGAAACGAGGCAACCCAACAAUUAGUCAUUUCAUUUCAGAUACCAAAGAAGAUUAGCCGUAUUUCCUGAGCUGCUUUUCUGAUAGGCCCUCUCUGUUUUAGCAUUUACUGUCAACAAAAUGAAGCAUUCCUGCUCAAGUUCAGAGGUCAGGAAUUGUCCUUAAACUUAAUUCUCUGAAGGCAACAAUGAAAAGGGAACAAAGUGUUUUAUAGUUUUGCCAUCUCUCCUUGUUUGUGCCACACCCAAUCCUUGCUGGAGAAGCACAGCUCUUUUACAGGAGGCCAGCUUUAUCUUCUGUGUAUAUGAAGGAAAUUGCUGUGGAUGCUUUUUUAAUAAGGAAAAAGGGACGUGAGCAAGCAAGGGAGUAAGAAGCGAUUCCUACUUGCAGCAGUCCCAUGCCAAGGGAUCCCUGAAAGCCUCCCACAUGUUCCAGGCUAAGCAAGAGAAGCCCAAGUAGCAAGCAGAAUAGCUCAGUGAAGAAGAACAGGAGAAGGGACAGGAAUCCUGGCUGCUGCCCCUUUACGCGUUGUGAUCUGUAUUUUAAUGGCUGAAAGCAGAAAGGUUGGAUUUCUUGUUGAGUGUGUCUUGUUUUAGCUGCAUGUUUGUAUUCCUAACUGGAAGAAUUGUUCAGUUAGAGCUCCUAUAAAAGUAUUUGGUCUAUUAGUGUGAAACCAGCUCACUUAGAUCAAGGGUCUGCAGGAUUAAGUCAACAAGAAAAGGCACAUCAAAUCUGGGCAUGAAAUAUCCAUGUCAUCAAACAGAAACUGGAUCUAUGUUGCCAUCCAUGUCCCCUCCUUGGGUUCUAAUGUAGUAUUCCCCAUCCCAAGAUGUUGGCCCAUUUCUGCCAGUAUGCAACUGGAGGAAAACUUAGACUGAAUGCACACUGCUUACAUCAAAGCUGAAGAGCAACUCUUAUUAAAAUUAGUAUUUUUUUUUUAAAGAAAGGCUGUUAAUUUGAAAAGGUAAUUGAUUUUAUAUACAUAUCUUUUAGUACACACCACAACCAAUGAAGCAAGAUUCCAGUCUAUCACCUAAAUAAAUAGGUCAUCAGUGCUAUGAUGAUCAUCAGACUCAAAACUUAGGUCAUCAGUGCUAUGAUGAUCGUCAGACUCAAAACUUCAACGUAAGAUUAAAUUGUCCCAAUUAGAACACAAAUACUUUUAAAGCAUCUGAUCUCCUGCACACAAAAUGACUUAGUAUGAAUGUCUGAAAAUAAAUGUGCAUAAAAGCAGCUCUUGAAUGCAUUUGAAAACCUGGGAAAACACCACGAAAAGGAAGCAAGCACUACUACUCACGUCCUCCCAUUCUAACACACAUACAUCUCCUCAGAAGAAAAGCCAAGAGAGGGGAAAGGCAGACAGGUUUUCAGCUGGUGCUGCUUCAUCUCACCCCACUCCUUGGGGCUCUGUCUGGUCCUUCCCCAGUGCUGCUCCUGUUCCCCACCUCUCUGCCUGAGGGUCACCUAUCUCUGAUGAUUUGCAGUCAGGCUCCUUCUGACCUUCCUGCACUCUCUGGGACCUGGAGUAUUAGGUGCAGCCUUGCUGCAUGCAUCAGGGUCUGUGCCUGACCCCACAGGUAUAGGGUGUCCAGAGGGGAUGGUCCAGGAUGCCCUUUUGAAUCAUGACAACUUUCUUCUUCUUCACUUCAUGCACGGUGUGUGGUUUUGUUUUUAAGCAAGCAUUAACUUCCUCUGCAGCCAGUACUGCAUUUGCACCAAUGUACUUGCUAUGAAGCAACUAGACUGCUUGUACACAGCAAGAGGAAGAGGUAAUGGGAACUGCACAGAGAGGCAAGGAAAUUACCUGAAAAGCAGCAAGCUGCCAAGCCAAGUAACCACACUGCCUCCUGCUGCUGUCACUUGGAGCUAGAAUCUGAGUGGGGGAACCCAACAGCCUCUCACCUUUUACAGAACUAGCUAAGAGAGAACCUCAGGGCGACAGAAUCCUAUGAAAUGAAUGGAUGUACUCUGGAAAGCAGAGUUCCUCUCUGCACCUUCUGCCCUAAUUGUUGUCUUCUCUGUUUAUUGUUUGGUAAACCAGCGCUUACUAUCACCUUUACUACGUGAUGUAUGGGAGUAUUCAGUAUAUUUUCUUGUUAUACAAGGAGGAGUAUAAAAUAGUUUUCUGAUUUCUUUCAGAAGCAAAUGACUAUUUUAUUUUUUAAGAGCAAUUGAUUGUGAAUCUCAGAGUAUAAAAAAAGAGAAAUAAGCCAAAUCUAUACCUUUAUGUAAAUUAAGAAAUA